rnacentral:lncRNA from 1 species
AAAACACUCCAACAUCACAUAACAACUCAAUAUAUGAUUCUCGGCUGUGAUUCGCAUGUUCUAGCUUUAAAUAGCUUAGCCAAGACAUAUAGACACUAAACACAAGAUGAAAAGGGAGAUUCUUACCUCAAAAGAGCAAGGAGAACCCGAAUCCAAACUUACUUCGCCUUGAAGAAUUCUCCAAAUCACAAGCAAGGAGGAGGAAAGGAGUAAGACAAUGUACGAAUAACUUUCCCGGGGUGAAAUCAUGUCAUAAACUCGUUGAUCUUAUUUGGGGUGGUAGGGGAACUUUUAGAGAGUGUUUAGGAGUGUUUUGGGUUUGAUUUAGGCAAGAAAUAUAAGUUAAAAUUACAAAGUGGAAUCGCUCUUUAUACUACCAGAAGGUUUCCAUCGCCUCAAGUGGGUCCCAAAGGGGCUGCCUGUGCAAUCUCGCAAAAAUACUGUUUAGCUCAAUGAUGUUAGUAUUUUGUAAGCCUACGAAAUAAAAUAUAAUGAACCCUAGAGAUAAUUAUAGUUUCAAGAAUUCCCAUUGAUUUGUAAUAGACGAUAAUGGUAAACUUAACUUAAGAGGUAAACAAUAGUUAUGAACUAGAGAGAGAGGUCGUACUACUAGAGAAUAAGACCGAUACCCUUUUACAAAGAGAAGGUUUCCUUUAAAUAGUACAAAACCUUCCUCGAAUAAAUAAAUAAUGACAAAUAAUUAAAAAAAAGUACAAAGUUUGGUGGCUUCCACUCAGCAAGUGGAGUCAGGUGCUAGACGGCGCCGUUCCUGGUUUGGACCGCACCCGCACUUGGGUCCCCCUUAUUAUAAAGGAUGUGCCCACAUGGAGUGGGGACGUGAUGAGUCAAAUUUAGCCCUAUACAGUUAGUCCCUCCGUUCUUUGGAGACGUACUCGAUGAUCGUCUUCAAUGGACGGACAUGUACGAUUCAUUUUUUACGGAAAUUUGGCCAUGCCUGUAGGCGCCUUUUUUGCAGAAUACGAUCGUGAUGGCAUUGCUUGGGCCAUUGACGUGUGACUUACCUUUAUUAAGGUGAUGUCAACAGUUACAUGCGUCAUCAUUACACCUAUUUCUGAGACUUGUUCAGAACGCGACGUGACAUUUUAGUUUCCGGCGCCGGUUUUAGAACUGAGCCUCUUCGAUUCCCGUGUGCUUUUCUCAUAUAAAUAGGAGAGUGGUUCAAAGGGUUUCGCCUUUAUAUCCUUCAGAAAGUUUCUUUUUCUUUUUUCUUCAUCCUUCUUCCCUGUAACAGUUAUAUCGCUUUUGGAGUGAUACCUUCCCUGAGAAUUAUUUUACUCACCACCAAUAUUUCAUUGUUCCAUGCAUAAUAUGGCAAAACGUCGAGAAAGUAAAAAUACUAAGGGCAGUGCCUCUUCUAGCGUUCUACCCUUCUCUGAUGGUGAAGGGGAGAGAGCAGGAAAGACCCUAGUUCCAUUAACGGUAGAUAACAUUUUGCCGAAGGAUUUAAAUGUGAGAAAUGACUUCAACACGGCAAGCCCCUCUCAACCUUUGGAAGAGAGCGAUUUACUUCAGUCCCACCUGGACGUUCUCAGGACCAGGUUCAACAUUCCUGAUCAUAUUGAGAUGGAUUCGGCUGGGACGGACCACGCCAAUGUACAUAAGCCCGGCUUUUGUGCGUUUUAUGAAUACUCAUUUAAGAUUGGGUACAGCUUCCCGCUUAACUCUUUGGCGGAAGAGCUUUGCCGCUACUUUAAUGUACGCCCUGAAGGUGUGUCGGAUCCUCCCUACGCUUGCCGGUGAGUUCGGGGUUGUUUUUUUCGUUAACCAUUGGUUAUAGAUGUUCAGCACAAACUAUACGAAGGUUACCAUGCUCGAAGAGCAUUGUCAUGAGGGCUGACGAUAAAAGCUAAUCGUGCGUUCUGGCGUAUAUUCUUCUUCGUCAGGACGUGCCAUUUAGUCACCAAUCCAAAAGAAUUUCUGGAGGUGUGGAAUGCAGGAUGUAAGUACCUCUGCAUGUAGUUUUGCGACGUUCCUUUUUGAAUGACUUAACACUGAACUUACUUUCUUUCUUCUUCUAUUUUGUUUGUAGUGGUGGCUCGCUCACCCCGCCCCGUUAGCGACAUUAGGUCGUGGGUGGCGGGAUUGAUACCACAUGCAGAGAAAUGCCUCACCUAACCUGAAUUUAGGUUGUACGGCCUAACUGGUAACAAACUUCCCAUAUAUACAUUUCUCGCAUUCUAUUAGCUCGGAGACCUUCUUACCUGAUGUGUUUGUCGUUUGUCAGGUCUGGGUGCUUCCUCUAGGACAAAGAAGAAAAAGACUGAAGGCGGCCCGGCCAGAGCGAGGUCUGAAUCCGAAGAUAUAUUUGAGGGAAGUUCGCCCAGGGGUAGCCCCCCUUUGAUAAUCCCAACAAGGGACUGCAUCGGUGGCCUCAUUGGAGGCGGUACUUGAGGCUGCCUCUGUGGAGGUACCAGAGGCUUCGGCGGCAACAGAGAAUGCUCCCGUGCCGGCACCGGAAGGUGCUCCAGCAGGGGCGAGUUCCGAAGGAGAGGAACUGUCUGAGAAAAAGAUGUGGCGUCUGAUUACUGGCAAAGGCAUUGCCAUUGAAGACGUGAGUAGGCCCAGUGAGCCUCGCCUAGUGCCAAGGUCGACCAUUAUGGCCGAGGUUAUUCGUGCUCAGGAGGGCAGCUGCCGCCCGUUUGGCUCAUGCAUCAGGGGGCGGGUCGUCCUCCGCAGUUUAUGUGGAGGCCAUGGAGACUGAAAGGACGGGAUCUAAUGCCGCUCUCGAGGAGGCACCGGGCAAAUCGGCCUGUGUGGAGAUGAGGGCGGGUUGAUCGACUCGCCGCAUUGUGAUCCCUGGGGAGUACAACUUGUUGGAGGAUAGAGAGCAGGCUGCGGUGGAUAUGACCCUGUUGUGCGCAGCUGCAGAGUGAGAGUCGCUGAGCGAUGUCAGCAACGGGGGCUAGUCAAGGCGGGUAGCUGGAUCAGCUUUACAAGUAGCUUUCAGCCCCAUUCCUUUAUUUUGUCAUUUAAAACGACUGUAGUCUGUUUUGACACGCUUCUUUUCUUCCUUUUCAUACCCUCAUUUGGAGGUGGAGAGGAGGCGGCGUGAGCAAAAGAGAGCGGCCACCUUCUCCAAGAUGUCAAAGAAGUACAGAAAGGUUCGUGCCAAGCAUCGGGCAUUGGCGGACAUGUUUGAGCAGGAUCCCCAGUUCCGGUCGUUCCGCGAGGGCCAUAAAGAAAUAGAGACUCUAUUGAAGAAAAAAGUGGCGGAGCUGAAGGCGUUGGAUGGAAGGAUGAUGGCUGCCUUUGCCCCAAAUAGUGAGCUAGAAACUCUUCUCCGGUCAAGGGAAGAGUACUUGGAGAUUAGCCGCGGGAUAGCGGACAAGGCUACGGAAUUACGGGCUCAGAUCACUACCCACAGAGCCGAGUUGGACACCAGGACGGCUAAGACGGAGGCCCUUAGGCAAUCUCCCCCACAAGAUAUCGUGCACCGUGAGGUGCACGAGACGUGGGUGUACCACGACGCCAGAUUGGUCGUCUUUGAGGGGUUUUUGGCGUUAGUCCGAGUCUCCGAAGUAGAGGCAGCGAAACUUGACUCACGUUGCCAAGAAGCGGCCGGUUAUAGCUCCGACUCACUUGGUAAGGAUGGCUAUAAUUCUGAGGAUGUCAAUCGUCUAGAGUCCAGCUCAUGGAUUUCCAAGACUUACAAGCAUGGGGGCGGCAGCGGACCUGACACCGACCAAGCGGGUCAUGAUGGCAGGGGUGGUGAAGGCCCUGAGGUCUUGUAUAUGAACCUUUUACAUGUGUAAUUUUUGUAGAAGUUAUUGUGUAUAUCUUUUUUGGAUGAAUAAAAUAUAAUUUUUCUUCCUUCCCCUUGCCGUUUUUUCUUUCUUUCAUUCUUUAGAGCUUUUGUCGCGUCCUUUGUUGAUCGUUGGUGUUGGCAACUUUGGUUAAAUUUUAGAUUAAUGGUUUUGGCCGUAAUAGAUCAAUGGUUUUGGCAACUCUUUUUGGGUCGUUUAUUCACCAUGGUCUAGUCUUAGGUCGGUCGUUUGUAAGGAUGGCCUUAGCCAUAAUGUGAUCAAUGGCCUUGGCCAUGAUUGAACUGAUGGCCUUAGCCAUGUAGGCGACUUCGACUAUUGUCGAGUCAUUUAUUUACCGUAGUCGAAUCUUAGGUCGACCAUUAGUGAGGAUGGCCUUAGCCAUAAUGUAACCGAUGGCCUCGGCCAUGAUUGAACUGAUGGCCUUAGCCAUGUUAGCGACUUCGACUAUUGUCGAGUCAUUUGUUUACCGUAGUCGAAUCUUUGGUCGACCGUUAGUGGGGAUGGACUUAGCCAUAAUGUAAUCGAUGGCCUUGGAUAUGAUUGGACUGAUGGCCUUAUCCCCUUUAAUUCAUUGACUGUAACCUUUCAUAUGUUGGAGAUGGUUGUAUCCUUGCAUUCAUUGGAGAUGGUCGUAGCCUUUCUUACAUUCGAGAUGGUCAUAGCCUUGCAUAUAUUGGAGAUGGCCGUAGCUUUUCUUACAUUGGAGAUGGUCGUAGCCUUGCAUAUAUUGGAGAUGGCCUUAGCCUUUCAUACAUUGGAGAUGGUCGCAGCCUUGCAUAUAUUGGAGAUGGACGUAGCCUUUCAUAUAUUGGAGAUGGCCACAGCCUUGCAUAUAUUGGAUGGAUGUAGCCUUUCAUAUAUUGGAGAUAGUCGUAGCCUUGCAUUCAUUGAAGAUGGCCGUAGCCUUUCUUACAUUGGAGAUGUCCGUAGCCUUGCAUAUAUUGGAGAUUACCGUAGCCUUUCUUACAUUGGAGAUGGUUGUAGCCUUGCAUAUAUUGGUGAUGGUCGUAGCCUUUUAUACAUUGGAGAUGGUCGUAGCCUUGCAUACAUUGGAGAUGGGCGUAGCCUUUCAUACAUUGGAGAUGGUCGUAGCCUUGCAUAUAUUGGAGAUGGUCGUUGCCUUGCAUAUAUUGGCGAUGGUCGUAACCUUUCUUACUUUGGAGAUGUCGUAGCCUUUCUUAAAUUAGAGAUGGUCGUAACCUUGCAUACAUUGGAGAUGAAGCUAGUCCAAUCCCUUUAUCAUGUCGGCCUGGAGGUCGUCAUGAGAGGUUGACAUGAUAACUUUGUUUCGCAAAUAUUCCCAGGUUCCCUCCAUCGCCUCGUUAAAAACCUCCCCGAGAAAACCCAAUUGGGACAAAACUAGAGUAAGGGAAAAAGAGUAUGACUCGGGAGAUGCCUUUAGAAGUGGAAAUAUUUGAGGUGAGCAAUGUUCUGGUUGUUGUGGAACAUUUUUCCUUCCAUUGUCUCUAAUAGAAAAGCGCAUUUGCUGGCUACUGAUGUGAUUUUGUAAGGUCCUUCCCAGUUGGUGCCCAAUUUUCCUUCACUUGGGUCUUUGGACGCCAAUGUGUUGGCUUUGAUGACGUAAUCUCCCACCUUGAGUGUUUUUAAUUUGCCCUUCUUGUUGUAAUAUCUUUCCAUUUGUUUAUGGGCAACCAUUCUGAUGUGGGCCAAUUCUCUCAUUUCCUCGGCCUCGUCGAGGUCUUGGAGUCUUUUGGCGUCAUUUGUGUUCCACUGGCGUGUGAAUUAGGCUUGGUUCACCGACAUCGACUGGUAUGACCGCAUUGGUUCCGAAGAUUAGUGAGUAUGGUGUUUCCCCUAUGCUGGAUUUGGGUGUGGUCCGGCAACCCAUAAUACUUCGAGUAGCAGCUCGAGUUGUAGCCCUUUUGGCGCCCUCGAGUUGCUUCUUCACUAUGUUUAAUAUUAUUAUAUUGGAGGAUUCCGCUUGGCCGUUGGUGGCAGGGUGAUAUGGCGUGGAAAGUAAUCUCUUGAUGCGCCAUUUCUCGAAGAAAUUCGGUCCUUUUCUGACCGAUAAACUGUCGUCCGUUGUCACAACUCAUUUCUUUGGGGAUGCCGAAGCGGCAUAUAAUAUUUUUCCAGAUGAAAGCGAUUACCUCCUGUUCGUGUAUUUUUGCAUACGCACCUGCUUCUACCCACAUGGAAAAAUAGUCAGUCAAUAUUAAUAGAAAUCGUACCUUUCCCCAUCGUGCGGGCAGGGGGUCGACUAUGUCCAUUCCCCAUUUGAUGAAAGGCCAUGGGGAGGUGACUGAAUGGAGGGGCUCUCCAGGUUGGUGUAUCAUGGGGGUGUAUUUUUGCCAUUGCUCGCAUUGAUGAAUGUAUCUUGCCGCCUUCUUCUUCAUGGUGGGCCAGUAUUAGCCGGCCCGUAUGAUGCAUCGUACGGGGGCGUGAUUGCAUGUAUGAGCACCGCAAUGACCGUCGUGUACUUCUUCGAGCACCGGUCUCGUUUGCUGCGGUCCUAGGCACUUGGCCAAGGGUCCGCCAAACGUUCUCUUGUAGAGGUCUCUGUUGAUUAAGCAGUACUGAGCGGCCUGCGUGCGGAGUUUCUUUGCCCCUUUCUUGUCGGAUGGCAGCAUCACAUCCUAUAGGUAAGAUACAAACUGGUUGUUCCUGUCCCAAGUCAAAUUUAAAGAGAAUACCUCAGUUUGAUUGAUGACGGAGUGGAAGAGAGUGACAACGCUCUCUUUGUCGAAGUUUUUGGUGGUCGUGGCUAGUUUUUCUAAACUGUAUGCUUUGAUAUUUCGUGCCCUUGGGAUUUGUUCCAGACGGCAUUUGUUGAACAUGGCUAUUAACCUGCAGAUCUUUGAUUUGUAUUUUUGCAGUCCCUGUUCUUUGAUUUGGUAAUUCUGUGUGACUUGUUUUACCACGAGUUGGGAAUCGCAGUGAAGGAUGAGCCAGCGGGCGCCAUAUUUUAAGCGUAGCUUCAUGCCUGCAAUAACAGCCUCAUACUCGGCCUCGUUGUUAGUCAUUUUGGGGCAUCGUAUGGACUGGCCAAUCGUUUCGCCCGUGGGGACCUCGAGGACAAGUCCCAGUCUCGAUCCCGAUGCAUUGGCAGCGCCAUCAGUGUAGAGGACCCAUAGGUCAUUAUUGGUGGUGGCGCAUUGUGCCUCAAGUUCCGCUUCUGGCAGAAUUGGUGCAGUAAAGUCGGCUAUAAAAUCGGCUAGGACUUGCGACUUAAUAGCGGUUCGGGGAAGAUACGAGAUGUCGUGCUCCUGAGCUCGAUAGCCCAUCUUGCGAGCCGGCCCGACAAUUCGGGCUUGUGUAGAACGCUCCUUAAUGGAAAAUUUGUUAUCAUUUUUAUGGGGUGGCAUUGGAAAUAGGUUCAUAGCUUUCGUGAAGCUACGACCAGUGCCAAUGCUAACCUUUCAAGGUGUGGGUACCGAGUUUCGGCGUCCACAAGGGUUUUACUAAUGUAAUAGAUAGGGGAUUGUGUACCUUUGUUCUCGCGGACAAGGAAGGCGCUGAUAGCAACCUCUGAUACGGCCAAAUAUACUAGCAGGGGUUCAUCCGGAUUUGCUUUGACCAGCAAGGGCGGCGAAGAAAAGUAUGAUUUCAGCUUCCUCAAGGCUUCGACGCAUUCUUCAUUCUAUUGUAGACCUUGAUCUUUUUUCAGUACGUUGAAAAACAUAUGGCACCUAUCGGAUGACCGUGAGAUGAACCGGGACACGGCGGCUAUAUGCCCCGUCAACUUUUGUACCUGUUUCUUGCUGCUCAACACCUCAAGUAUUGCGUCUAUCACCUUUAUUUGGUCUGACCUCGAUGCCUUGUUUCGAUACGAGGAAUCCUAAGAAUUUUCCUGAGGCUACACCGAAGGCGCAUUUCUCGGGGUUUAGUUGCAUCCCGUACCUCCUCAGUAUUUCUAAGGCCUCCUUUAAAUGACCGAUAUGGUCCUUUUUCCUUGCCUAUUUUACUAGCAUAUCGCGGAUGUAAACUUCUAUGGUCUAGUCGAGUUGCUCUUUGAACAUUUUGGUUACUAGUCUUUGAUACGUGGCUCCUGCAUUCUUGAGCCCGAUGGGCAUUACUUUGUAGCAGUAUGUCCCCCGGUGGGUGAUGAAAAUUAUUUUUUCUUGAUCCUCUUCAGCCAUCAUGAUUUGAUUGUAACCGGAGUAUGCAUCUAGUAAACUUAGCAGCUCAUGCCUCGCGGUCGCGUCUAUUAGCUGGUCAAUAUGGGGUAGCGGGAAGGAAUCUUUCGGACAUGCCUUGUUUAAAUCGAUGAAGACUACACACAUUCUCCACUUCCCGUUCUUCUUCUUGACCAUGACGACGUUUGCGACCCACUGAGGGUACUUUGAUUCCUUGAUGGAAUCGUUGUCCAGAAGUUUGUCAACUUCUUUGCUGACCGCUUCAUUAAUCGCGGCGUUAAAUUUUCUUCUCAUUUGCCGUACAGGCGGGAGUAAUGGAUCAACAUUCAGCUUUUGAGUGGCGAUUUCUCGCAGGAUCCCCGGCAUAUCCGAAUGGGAAAAAGCAAACAGGUCUGUAUGGUUAGAGAAAAAUUCACGAUACUGACUUGCAUUUGAAGGGUCGUGCCCGAUGUACGCCUUACUUGUACGGUCGUCAUUGUCUAAUUGGACCGGGUCAAGGUAUUCGAUCGUAGCCUUACGGGAUUCUAUGACAUCAGGGUCUUUGAUGGCAAUUUCUUUUGGGCGGACCUUUAGCCCCCGACAUACCUGAUUGCUAUGCGUCUGCGCUCUCCCCUUUAAGUUGCCUUGUGGGCGCAGUCUUGAGCUAUCUUGUAGCAUUCUUGAGCGAUGUGGGGCUCUCCUCGAAUGUUGAAUAUCCCCACGGGGUGGGAAAUUUAACCAUUUGGUAGAAACUCAAAGAGACCGCUCUCAUGGCGUGUAUCCACGGUCGCCCGAUAAUCACGUUGUAUGUCGUUUCCUGGUUCAUCGCGUGGAAAGUUGUUUCCAGCGUGACUCCCCCUAGGACGGAUAGCGAUUUCUCUCCUGAGGUUCGUUCCACUGCAUUAUUGAAACCUGUUAGUGUUAUGCAGUGCGGUAUUACCUUAUCCUCGAGUCCCAUUAGUACGAGGACCCUCGGGUGGAUAAUACAGGCACCACUACCGUCAUCAACCAUAAUCCUUUUAACAUUCGUAUCUGCGAUACGUAAGGUAAUAACUAACGUAUCGUAAUGAGGGAAAGACAAACCGCCAGCAUCAGACUUAUCGAAGAUGAUACUAUAUUCGAAGUCGUCAUACCGUUUGUGGGUGAUGGUUCGCUUCAGUUUGUGCGUAGUGGUGAACUUGACGUGGUUGAUUGCCGAAUCGUUGUUGUUCCCAAUGAUCAUGUUGAUCCUGCGGGCCGGUGAGGGUGGCUUUGGUGGCCCGUGAUGUUGCUCCCGUCCGUGUGCAAAGUUGAUUUUUCUUUUGUCAUUGAGUAACUCCCUCAGGAACCAUUGGUUCAACAUUCUGACUGCCUCUUGUCGUAGACCUAUUCAGUCUUCGGUUUUGUUUCCACGUUCCUGGUGGAACUCGCACAGGGCGUUUGACAUUCUGGUGGUAGGGUCCGACUUCAUCUUUGCCGGCCAUUGCACCUUGUUCCCAGCUUCUCAAGUGCGUACACUAUCUUUGAAGGGGACACACAAAAAUUAUGGGCAGCUAAUAAAGGGGGCGUACCUCUAUCAUUUCGUAGUGGAGCGACAUGUCGUUGUAGUGCGUCCGCGUGCCUGGGCAGCGGCGGGUGAGAGGACCUGCUGUAGGGUUGGUGCCUCUCCUUGUUGGGACAUGAGCCUUGUUCCCGCCUUCCUUCAUUGCGUCUAUCUCUCCUGAUCUCUGGAUGUAUCGUUGCUAGACGUUGGGUCGGUCUGUUGGGGUCAUCCUCGUCUGCGCGCACCUCAGCUCAAUAAGCAUUGUGGAUCUCUUCCCAUGUGGUGGACAGGUACUUCAUGAGGCGGCUAAGUAAUUUUUUUGUCACCCUCGAGCCAUUUCUGCUUAACUCAUUUUUGAAGGCAGUGACUGCCAUACCCUUCGAUACGUUGGGUAGGCUCAUCCUUACCCUGUUGAACCUAUCUAGGAAGUCCCUAAGUCCUUCUCCUGUGGUUUCCCGAACGGAGAAGAUGUUGUUGACCCUUACUUCUGCUUUCUUGGCUCCUGCAUGCGCAGUGACAAACUUGUUCGCCAUUUCCUCGAAACUGGAAAUAAUAUUGGCCGGUAGCUGGGAAUACCAGGUCAGUCCUCCCCUGUUAGUGUUUCGCCGAACUUCUUCACUAGUACAGACGGUACAUGCUCCUUUGAGAGGUCGUUACCUUUUACGGCACUGACGUCAUGGAUUAAGUGGUCCUCGGGUUCUGUAGUUCCGUCGUACACUCUUAGAUAAGGUGGCAUUUUGAAGGUUUUCAGAAUGGGGUAUGGUGCAGCCUCUUCUGUGUACGGUUGUUCACCUCCCCACAUCACGCUUUGGCAGCAUUUUGGGGGCGCCAGGAAUUUAGUCUACCCUUUCUUGGUGUUCCUUCAUCUGGUCAAGGAGUGACCUGUUUUCGUUUUCCAUUUCCUCCAUCUUCUUGAGGAUGGCUGCGAGAGCGUCGCCAUCGGCCCGAGUUUCGAGGGGCGCAUUGUUUGCGUGGGUGAUCUCGGGUUCUCCUCCGACUGCAUCAAGAUUUGUGGUUGGCCUGCAUCUGACAUUAUGUUGGGGUGGCUUCUCAAUCAGGCCGUUUAGAGUGCUUGUUAACCCCUCUUCUAGUAGUUUCUUGACCUCCUGGGGGUGCUUCCUCAGAUGUAGAUGUGGAAGCUCCCUUUUCCCGCUAGAUUGUUAGAUCUUCCAGCGGUGGAGGUGGGAUUUCUCCGCUUAAGGUGGUACUAGGGGUUGUAAUCAUGACCCCAUCUUCACCGGCUUCGUUGAGAGGGUCGAUGAUACUGGUUGGAACAUCAGCUAUUGUUUUCAUUCUUGCGUUUUUGUCAACCAAUUUUCGUUUUUUGUGUAGUAAAGGAAGGUUUUUUGAAGGUUCUCUAGGUGCAAACUAUGGUUUGAUUCUCGAAAUUCCCACAGACGGCGCCAAAUUGUUUAACUCAAAAAUGAUGUUAGUAUUUUGCAAGCUUAAAAACAAUCAAAAUAAAACUACUCAGGCAAUUGCUUGAGGCCCCACAUCUACGGGGGCCCCAAGCUUUUCUGAUAUACCCGGGUCUCUAUAAAACAGAAUGAAAAGCCCGGGUGGAAGCACAAAUAAAAGGAGAGAGAAAGAGUAGAAAAGAAAGGGGGAAGAAGUCUAGUGCUUAUUAAUAAAUUUUUUUUAAAAAAAAUCUGAUAUUGAUAAAAAGAUGUAUCGGUAUUUGAUGAAUUAUUAAAAAAUAUUUAGUAUAUAAAAAAAGUAUCUUUCAUAAAUAAGGAAAUUAUGCGAUCGAUAGAGAUAAUUUGUGUGACGAUCGCAAAGGUCAUUACUAUUAUAUAUAUAUAUAUAUAUAUGAGGGUAAACCGUAAUCAAAUAUAAUGAACCCUAGAGAUAAUUAUCGCUUCAAGAAUUUCCGUUGGUCUGUGAAUAGAUGAUAAUGGUAAACUUAACUUAAGAGGUAAACAAUAGUUAUGAACUAGAGAGAGAGGUAGAGAUAGAGAGAGAGAUAGGUCGUACUACUAGAGAAUAAGACCGAUGCCCUUUUACAAAGAGAUUCCUUUAUAUAGUAGGAAACCUUCCUCGAAUAAUAAAUAAAGACAAAUAAUAAAAAAGUACAAAGUUUGGUAGCUUCCACUCUGCAAGGGGAGUCAGGUGCUAAACGACGUCGUUCCUGGUUUGGACCGCACCCGCGCUUGGGCCGCCCUUAUUGUGAAGGAAGUGUCCACCUGGUGUGGGGACAUGAUGAGCCAAAUUUAGCCCUAUACAAAUACGAAUAUCUCGGUACCUCAAUGUAGUAUUGAUGAACAGUUUAACGCGUUGGAAUUUAAACUAGACUCGUAGAUAAUUAAUUUGAUGGGUAGAUCACCCCGUAACUCCUAGUAUAUCGAGAGAAAAACUCAGUGACAUUAGGCCCAAAUUUCAGUAAAAUAAUAAAUGUAAUUUGUGAUAAUUUUUACCUACUUUUGUUUCAAUUACCUAACAACAUGACUUCCUUAAGAUAAUAAGCACUUCUAGUUUACCCUGAAUGUACGGGUUAUAAUUUCUUUGACUCGUUUAACCUUCAACCCUCACGAUACUUCCUUAACUUAUUUUAAUUCAUCAUUAUUUUUGUAAAAACCUUAAGCUCUUCAGCUUAUAUUAAUUCACUUAAGACGCAUUUUAACAUGAAAGUAUGGGGUGUAACAAUUUUAUUCAUGCAUUUCAGUAUCAUACGUGAUAAUAAAGGGAUAAAAUAAGUGUAAGAUAUAUAAUUUGGAAUUGGGAUAAAUAUCGAAUAUAGUAGUUUCAUAUGAACGUACAAUUUUAUCUAAGUUAAUUGUUAGUAAAGGCAAAAAGAAAAGAAGGUAUGUAAUUUCCUUUUAUUGUAAUAGAUAGAUGGUGUGUUUUCCAUAGAUUCAGGGCCGGCUCAAUGAUAAAACUAGGGGUGUUCAAAAUCGAUCCGAAACCGAAAACCAAUCCAAACCGAAGCUUAAUGGCUUACUGGUAAUGGCUUAACGGCUUAACGGACGGGGAACGGAUUAAAUUUUUUUUAUUAACGGCUUAUCGGUUUGAGGAUGAAUUAUUCAAUUUUCUUAACGGCUAAUCCGUUAACCCGUUAAGAAUAUAAAUAUAUAUAUAUAUAUAUAUAAAUUAUUUUUAUUUAUAUAUAUUAAAUAUAAAAAAACUAAAACCCUUAAAAAUGAUUAACAAAAAUUUAUUUCUACUUCUAAGCACUUUUAAUCUCGGGAUCUAGAUGAUUUGCAGGUACUCGCCCAACCUAAAGGAGAUGAAGGUGAUGGACAAGAAAAAAGUGAGGAGGGCAAAGCUAUACUACGUCAGGGAUAAAAUGAAUGCCCUAAAAAGACAUUAACAAGCUAGCUCAUAUGAAGGUAUACUGGAAUAGGUGUUUGAUCUAUAAUUGCCUGAAGAGAUCUAUCAAAUUCUAGUAAAUNNNNNNNNNNNNNNNNNNNNNNNNNNNNNNNNNNNNNNNNNNNNNNNNNNNNNNNNNNNNNNNNNNNNNNNNNNNNNNNNNNNNNNNNNNNNNNNNNNNNNNNNNNNNNNNNNNNNNNNNNNNNNNNNNNNNNNNNNNNNNNNNNNNNNNNNNNNNNNAACCCGAUACCAAUCCGCCCGAUAUCUUAUCGGGUGGCUAACGGAUUAAUACAUUUAAAAGCCGAUAACCGCUAAGCCAAACCGUUAAGAGUAAAAGCCGCUCAAUCCGCCCGAUCAACACCCCUAGAUAAAACUACUCAGGCAAUUGCUUGAGGCCCCACAUCUACGGGGGCCCCAAGCUUUUCUGAUAUACCCGGGUCUCUAUAAAACAGAAUGAAAAGCCCGGGUGGAAGCACAAAUAAAAGGAGAGAGAAAGAGUAGAAAAGAAAGGGGGAAGAAGUCUAGUGCUUAUUAAUAAAUUUUUUUUAAAAAAAAUCUGAUAUUGAUAAAAAGAUGUAUCGGUAUUUGAUGAAUUAUUAAAAAAUAUUUAGUAUAUAAAAAAAGUAUCUUUCAUAAAUAAGGAAAUUAUGCGAUCGAUAGAGAUAAUUUGUGUGACGAUCGCAAAGGUCAUUACUAUAAUUCUCCCUUUCCCUACGCUUCUGAGGCCUUGAAAACUUCUUAAUUGGUUGGCUCGAUUUGCGAGCGUGGUAAGGGCGCGAAGCCAAAAUUUUUUUAUGUGGAAAUAUUUGAAUUCUGUGUCAAAAACUAUAAAUUUUGAUAAUAAUAUUGCAAUAGUUGACUUUGGUCAAUGUUCCGGGUAAACGGACCCAGGCCCGUGAUAUGAAGGUCCCGGAGAGCCCACAAGGAAAUUUGGGAUCCUGGCGUAUUCCCAUAAUCGAAAUCUGAGGUCCCAGGCCCGAGUACGGAGCUUUUCUGUGAAAUUAUUUUCUGAAAAUACUUAAGGAAAAAUAAAAAUGAAAAUUGAUCAAAAGUAAUAGUAUCGGGCUCGUACUUUGGUUCCGACGUCCAGUGCAAGUCUUAAAUGGGCAUUACGCGCUAUCUGUAAAGUUUGGUUUAAAACGGACGUUGUUUGACGUGUUGCGGACUAAAAAUAGAAAAUUUGAAAGUCUUGAACUUUGAAAUGAAAAUCAUGAGUUUUGGAGGUUGAUUCUUUGAUUUUGAAGUUAGUUUGGCGAUUUGAUUGCUCGAGCAAGUUUCUAAGAUGAUAUUGAGUUAGUGUGUGGUUGGUUGGGAGCCCCGAGGGCUCGGAAGUGUUUUCGGGGGGGAGGGUUCGGGAUAUUUUAGAACCUUGGAACACAUCAGAAAAUCCAAAUAUGUUGCAGACCGAUUUCCCCUUCGCGAUCGCGUUCACCCUCUCGCGUUCGCAUAGCCCAGCCUCCAGUAUUCUACGUGAUCGCGGAAGAGCCCCCGCAUUCGCACUGUGUUACCAGUCCCUUCAACGCGUUCGUACUCUCCGCUUCGCGUUCGCGUAAGACACUUGGACCCCACCCCCCCUGACUUCCUUUUUCGCGAUCGCGUGGAAUUAAUCGCGAUCGCGAUGCCUCCAGACUUCGUACAUCGCGAACGCAUCCCAAUUUUCGCGAUCGCAUAGGCCAAAUUCCUUCAGCGAUUUAAUUAGGUCCAGAACAGUGUUUUUCCGAGAUACUUAAAAAAUUCAAUCACGAGCUCUCCUCCUACACUAUCUAUUAACGAACUCCAAGCCCCUACUUCACCAUAACUCUUUGGGUAAGUGAUUCCAAUUUCAUCCUUCCAUUAUUCCGUCAUCUAAUCAUCAAUUUUCUAGCCCUAAAUCAUAGUUUCAUGGUAGAAAUUAGAGAUUUUGGGUAGAGUUAGAUUUGUAAAAUUUUGAGCGAUUCAACCUCAGUUUAGGCUCGAAUCUUGAAACAAAUCAUAUAUUUGGACUCGUAGGGUUAUGAGUAAUUGGAAUUUGGUCAAAGCCUUGAGUUUGGACCAUGUGGGCCCGGUGUCGAAUUUUGAUAUUUUUGGAAGAAAAAUUAGAAAUGAAUUUCUAAACUAGGAAAAUGUGUCCUUAUGCUCUUAUUGAUGAUAAUAUUGAAUCGAUUUAUGUUAGAUAUCGUUGGUUCGCGGUCGAAUUCUAUAGGAAAGACGAUUGUUGAGCUUUGAGCUGCUAUUUUCGGAUUCGAGAUAAGUGCUUGAUCUAACUUUGGCUUGAGGGAAUAAGAUUAAGUUGAUAUUUGCUAUGUUCUAUGUGGAGUCGAUGUAUAGGUAUGGUGACGGUUACCUGUGCGCCCGGGGCUAGCAUGACCGUGAGUCAUAAUUGCUAUUAAAAUUUCGAAAGAAGUGAACAAAUGUGGUAGCUACUUGCUAAAUGAACUACGAAGUGAUAGUUGAGAAGCAAAUGAACUAAAACGGAAAUUUUGGUACUUUUCCCUUGCCGGGACUUAUUGUUGAGUUGUAUUACCUUGCCGGGAUUUAUUGUUGAGUUAUUCUCCCUUGCCUGAAUAUUUUUCCAUGUUAUAUAUUUCCCUUCCCAUUUGGUUGUGACCAUUGAUUGGGUGAGGAAGAGAGAGUAAAAGCACGAAGGGUGAUGUCGUGCACUAUAUAUUUGACAGAAAAAGCAUGUAGAGUGAUGUCGUGUACUGUAUAUUGAGAGUAAAAGCACGAAGGGUGAUGUCGUGCACUAUAUUUGACAUUCUUCGUGAGAAAUGAGAGUAAAAGCACGAAAGAUGAUGUCGUGCAUUAUAUUUGUCAUUGCUAUUAUUGCUAAAAGUCUUUCGCGUGUAUUAAUUAAUUAAUUCAGUAUAUAAUUUGCUUUAGUUUAAGGUUACUGUGAAAAUGAUUAAAAAAGGGGUUGGCUUGCCUAGCUUCGACAGUAGGCGCCAUCAAGACUCCUGAUGGUGGGAAAAUCCGGGUCGUGACAAGUUGGUAUCAGAGAACUAGGUUACUUGGGUCUCACAACUCAUGGACAAGCUCGGUAGAGCCUGAGGGAUCGGUACGGAGACGUCUCUAUUUAUCCCCUAGAGGCUACAGAGUUAGGAAAAAUUCACUUUGUUCUUUCUUAUCGUGCAAUUCUGUUUCUCAAAUAUUGAUUGUCGUUCUACUCUGUUCUUCCGCAGAUGGCGAGAACACGUGCGUCUUCUUCUUCUUCACAGCAGCCUGAGUUCCCAGCAGCAGCUCCCGUGAUGGGUAGGGGCCGAGGCCGUGGUAGGGGCAGAGCUACGCCCCAUGUCUUCUUCUUCCACACAGCAGUCCGAGCCCCCAACAGCAGCUCCUGCGAGAGGAAGGGGCCGAGGCCGUGCCAGAGGCCGUGGCAGGGGAAGAGCUCAGCCUCAGGCGGUAGUUCCAGAGGUGGAGCCUCAUAUUGACUUUGAUGAGGAGGUUCCAGCUCCACCAUCUCCAGUGGACCCAGCUCAUGUCCCAGGAGGAGUGAUGUUUUCUUCGGAUCUGUAGGAUGCUCUUAUCCGCAUAGUAGGCUUUAUGGACAGUGUCGUUAGAGCGAGAUUGCUGCCAGUAGCACCAGCCACUUCUCAAGCUGGAGGGGGUUCAGACUCCUGGUACACGUACUACGGAGCAGAUAGCUCCCCAGACUCAGGUUCCGUUGGUUCAGCCCGCAGUGGCAGCUCCGACAGGCAUUACAGCUCAGGCCGGAGAUGGUACAGCCAUGUCUUCAGAUGCUUUGUGGAGACUUGAUCGGUUCUCCAAGAUUUUCACCACCACUUUCAGCGGUGCUUCAUCGGAGGAUACCUAGGAUUUUCUAUACAGUUGUCACGAGAUCCUCAAGACUAUGGGGAUAGUAGAGACCAAUGGGGUCGAUUUUUGCACUUUCAGGCUUGUGGGAUCCGCCAAGACCUGGUGAAGGGAUUAUCGCUUAUCUAGACCAGCAGGGUCAUCAGCCUUGACAUGGGAUCAGUUUGCAGAGCUAUGUUUUGAGAAGUUUUGUCCCGUCACUCAGCGAGAGGCACUUCGCAGAUAGUUUGAGCGCCUUCAGCUGGGCUCCAUGAUAGUUACACAGUAUGAGACCAGAUUUGUUGACUUGGCACGCCAUGCAGUAGUGAUACUCCUUACAGAUCGAAAGAGGGUCUGGAGGUUCAUUGAUGGAUUGAUUCAGCCGAUUCGCCUUCAGAUGGCUAUGGGAGUUAGAACUGAUAUUACUUUUUAGGAGGCGGCCAAUGUGGCACGCCGAGUAAAGAUGGCAUUGGCUCGAGGAGGUAGCCAGGGUUCAGGAAAGAGGCCUCGACAUUCUGGCAGAUUUAGUGGUACCUCAUCUGGAGGUAGGGAUUUCUAUGAUAGAGGCCAACCCCCGAGACCUUUCCAGUCGGAACUUCAGGUUUCUCAUGGUACACCAGGCGGUGGUGGUCAUCAGCAGCAUUAUUCAGAUCAGCAGUCCUACAGCGCACCACCACCCCCCAUCAGUGCACCACAACUUCAGAGCUUCCGGGGAGGACAUAUCGGUCGACAGGGCCAGUAGUCUCAGCCGCCGAGGGCAUGUUAUGGUUGUAGUGACAUAGGUCAUGUUGUCAGAUAUUGCCCUCGAGCCUCGAGUAGUUCUCAGCAAUAGGGUCCUCGCCCUACGACCCAGGCAGCAGAUGAUCCACAGGCCGCACAGCCAGAUAGAGGCGGGGGUAGGGAUCAUAGAGGUUGAGGGAGAGACCGUAGAGGUGGAGCCCGAACAGCAAGAGGGAGGGGUCAGCCUGUAGUGACAUAGGUCAUGUUGUCAGAUAUUGCCCUCGAGCCUCGAGUAGUUCUCAGCAAUAGGGUCCUCGCCCUACGACCCAGGCAGCAGAUGAUCCACAGGCCGCACAGCCAGAUAGAGGCGGGGGUAGGGAUCAUAGAGGUUGAGGGAGAGACCGUAGAGGUGGAGCCCGAACAGCAAGAGGUAGGGGUCAGCCUGCAGCAGAAUGUCCAGAGAUACAGUUCAGGAGGCGGGGGCCAGCCCCGUUGUUAUGCAUUGCCAGCCAGGCCGGAGGCCGAGUCAUCUGAUGAUGUGAUUACAGGUACUAUACUGAUCUGUGAUAGGGGUGCUUAUGUAUUAUUUGAUCCGGGAUCUACUUAUUCUUAUGUGUCAUCCUAUUUUGCACCAUAUUUGAUCAUGCCUAGUUAGGCUCUGGGUAUUCCUGUAUAUGUGUCCGCACCUAUUGGUGAUUCUAUAGUGGUCGACCGAGUGCAUCGUUCUUGUGUGGUGGUAUUUGAGGAUCUGGAGACUCAUGUCGACUUAUUGCUUCUAGACAUGGUGGACUUUUGUCACAGCCCUUUUUUUCAAAAUCUCACACCAAACCCUCUUAAAUAAAUAAAAAGAUUUAUGUGAAGCUUGAAAAAGGUUUUUCAAUUUGAAAAGUGACAAAAAUGGUGUUCGAAAGGAUUAACUCAGAGUCGUCACCCGACAUUUGAUUUCGGUGUGCCAGGUCACCGGGUUUUUAGAAAUUUUCCUUUUAGAACACUUCAAACUCUAAACAUAAGUCUACACUCGAGAUUCGGGUAAGGGGGUCCAUUUGAUUCAGGGAGAAGAUAUUAGGCACUCCCCAAGUCCCGUGAAAGUCACGGUUGCGUACUCGAUGAAGUUGGCUUUCAAAACAUUCAAAUUGAGGUAAAACACACCGAAAUAAUAUAAACACACAAGAGGCUCGAGGUCAUACCCACCUAAAUGAAAGAAAAAGAAAAGAAAAAGAAAAGAAAAAUCCUAAACUAACCUAUACUACGACUUUUCUGCCAUGCUCGCCAAAAUGUCCAAAAUAUGUACAUAGGUUUUCGUGGCAUACCCCGAAUAAUAAUAUAUACAAACUUCACGGGGUAUUCCCCAGAUAAAUUUAACUACGAGAAUGACCUCUCGCCUCGAUACUAAUAAAAUCUUAAAGCUUGUCUACCCAAGUGUGGUCGGCCUAAACAUGCUCCUAACGAUUAAAUUGAUAAAAAAAAUAAACGAAUGACAAAAUUUGUCCAAAAGCUCAAAUCAUUUUGAUUUCAGUUUUGCCAUGAUCAAUUUAUCUUAAGAAACUCACAUCUUUAAAAAUAAAUAAUAAUAAAUAAAUAACUUGAAUGCAACUAAUCCAUAGCCAACCUCAAAUAAAAGUCAUUAAUUAAAUAGCAAGAUCUCAAACUCAAAUAAAAGUCAUUAAUUAAAUAGCAAGAUCUCAAACAAUAUCCAACAAAGCAAAUAAGAAAUCUAAAAGUCAAAGAGAUAAGAAAUGACCUCGGGAGUGAACUCUCUUUGAAUAUGAAAAUAUGUUACUACCAAAAACCUUGGACGACGAUGGAAUCACGAACUGGACCGCGAUCGGACACCCGACGGAUCCUUAUUUGGCUGGAAAAUCCCGAACCCAACUCAGAAACUUCAGCUAAACGUCAUUAGAAAGGAACUCGGUUUUGGUUUUCAUUGAAUUUUAGCGCGAAUUCGCAUUGAAGUGGCGGCUGACUUAGAAAUAUUACAGUAUCGAUUCUUCAAUUUUGUUUGAAGUUUCUCAAUCCAUUUCUAAGAAUGUUUUGAAAUUCCAAAAGGUUGCAUAGAUUUUGCAGCGAUGGAUUUUUGCUCAAAUUUUUGAAGUAGAUAGAAAUAUCGUCUCUAAUUUCUUGUUUUCCCUUUUUCCGUUUGCUUUUGUCGCCAUUCUUUUUGUUCCAAAAACCUGCUUCCAGCUGCUCCUCCUUUUUAGGUCUUCUCCCAUGGUCCUAAGAAAAAGAGUUAAGGGUUA